GAGAUCGGGAUAACACCUGGAAACAGAUGCUAAUACCGGAUAACAACAGAUGAUGCCUAUCAACUGUUUAAAAGAUGGUUCUGCUAUCGCUCUUGGGAUGGGACCUGCGGUGCAUUAGCUAGUUGGUAGGGGUAACGGGCCUACCAAGGCGAUGAUGCAUAGCCGAGUUGAGAGACUGAUCGGCCACACUGGGACUGAGACACGGCCCAAACUCCUGCGGGAGGCAGCAGUAGGGAAUCUUCCACAAUGGACGCAAGUCUGAUGGAGCAACGCCGCGUGAGUGAAGAAGGGUUUCGGCUCGUAAAGCUCUGUUGUUGGUGAAGAAGGACAGGGGGUAGUAACUGACCUUUGUUUGACGGUAAUCAAUUAGAAAGUCACGGCUAACUACGUGCCAGCAGCCGCGGUAAAU
rnacentral:rRNA from 1 species